rnacentral:rRNA from 1 species
CGCAAAUUACCCAAUCCUGACUCAGGGAGGUAGUGACAAGAAAUAACAACACUGGAAAUUUUAUUUCUAGUGAUUGGAAUGAUGGGAAUUUAAACCCCUUUCAGAGUAACAAUUGGAGGGCAAGUCUGGUGCCAGCAGCCGCGGUAAUUCCAGCUCCAAUAGCGUAUAUUAAAGUUGUUGCAGUUAAAAAGCUCGUAGUUGGAUGUCUGCUGGAAGCAAUCAGUCCGCCCUAUUUGUAGGGUGUGCACUUGAUGAAUUCUGGCAUCUAUAUCCCAAUAAUAUGAUGGUGUAUACCCUGUGUACACCCAUCUAUAUUGGGAUAAUACCGUUACUUUGAGAAAAUUAGAGUGUUUGAAGCAGGCUAAUUGCCUUGAAUACUGCAGCAUGGAAUAACAAUAUAGGAUUUCGGUUCUAUUUUGUUGGUUUCUAGGACUGAAAUAAUGAUUAAUAGGGACAGUUGGGGGCAUUCGUAUUUAACUGUCAGAGGUGAAAUUCUUAGAUUUGUUAAAGACGAACUACUGCGAAAGCAUUUGCCAAAGAUGUUUUCAUUAAUCAAGAACGAAAGUUAGGGGCUCGAAGACGAUCAGAUACCGUCGUAGUCUUAACCAUAAACUAUGCCGACUAGAGAUAGGAAAAUGUCAUUUUUCUGAGUUCUCCUGCACCUUAUGAGAAAU